rnacentral:tRNA from 1 species
GUGGAUGUAGUUCAGUUGGUUAGAGCGCUGGAUUGUGGUUCCAGAGGUCGCCGGUUCGAACCCGGUCUUCCACC